GCUCUUGUAGCUCAGCUGGUUAGAGCGUCGUGCUUAUAACGCGAAGGUCGCGAGUUCGAUCCUCGCCUAGAGCA
rnacentral:tRNA from 6 species